UGUAAUCACUAAUUUCGAGUGACGCUGUGGUUGACCUAACCUAAAAAAUUUUGUUUAUUUUUCUUCUUUUCUUUUAAUUUUUCAAUAUUUGCUUGAAUUAUGGAAGAAAUCCUAUUAAACUUAUAUCGAGCUUGUCUUUGGAGUGAGAAUGUGUUUAAAUACGUGUCUAAUAUCAGUACAUAUCCUAUCGUAACAGGCAUUAUUUGUAUGUACUUGCUAAACAAUUUUUGUGCAAUUAAAUAUUUUGCUAAUUGUUCUUUGGUAAUUAUAACAAAAGUCCUUGUGUAUAUUGGUGUCCCUCAGUGAUGUGAAAAUGCUUGAAGAAAUGUUGUAGUGGUAUUUAAAGUGUAGUGACAGAAUAUUGCUUCAAAAAACUGUUUAAACCAAUCAGGAAGAAUAAAGCGGUGUCAUUAAUACCGUCAAAGCAAACAAGAGGCACGGGUAUGCUAUUAUUCCGUGGAUACACAUUCUCCUUGAGAAAUAGAAAGAAGAAUGGAAACUAUUGGACGUGCUCGAGUCAUCACAAAAAGGGUUGCAAAGCUCACAUCAACACCGACGAAACUAAAACACCCUUUGUAGUAUUGAAUUAUAAUUCUGAUCACAAUCAUCCCCCUAAAAAAGUCAAAGUAUCAUCUGGUCUCAAAUUCGUUGUUGGUUAAUAAAGUUAUUUAUUAAUUUUAAUUUAAUUUUUUAUUUUAUAAUAAAUAUUCCAUAUUUGGAAGUGGUUAUUACAGUUAUAGUUGAUGACACUAAAUAAUUAAAUAUAUAUUUUAUACAAGUUGUUGUUUUUUAUUUUUAUUUCUAUAUAUGGUAACAGUUUCACCCUGCCUUCAUGAAACUGAAGAUUUCCUCAAGAAAAUUUGGUGGAUAAAUAAAAAAAACAUCUUUGAAUCUUUCAUAGCUAUACAACACAUAUUAUGCCGCGGCAUUUCCAAAAGUACAAAUAAUUUCCAAACUUCUAUUCAAAAUUCAAUCAUAUUACUUGAGGAAUAUCUAUUCUCUUUCACAGACAAUAUGUCUGUGUAUUUUAGAUUAUUUUGCCAAACGCCCAUUCUGUCUUAUUCUCUUCAUCCAGGGCUUCAGAACUUUUAAAAGAGGCUUCCUUUAUAUACAAUGUUAUAUUGUUGCAGAAAUACACUUUAUAACAUCAAAAAAGGGAUUUAAAUUACUUGUCUACGAGCAAUAUACCUACGCGCAGAACUGCAAAAGCAAGAACCGAACGAGCUGGGCGUGUUCCUCGCGGUGCUCCAAGAAAUGUUACGCUCAAGUCGCCCUGACCAAUGCUGGGGAGCUGCUGAUUAUCAACAAUGAGCACAGCCAUCCACCACCGACCUUCUACAUUAACGAGAAAGGCGCUUACGUUAGAGUCAGGGACAGGCACAGCGACAAAUACAUGACGGACGAAAUCGAUCAUACACUUGUGAGAUUCGAUGAUCUUUCGGACUUGGAAGACUAGUAUCGGAUUAUGUACCUCUCAAGUAUUAAUAGUACAUGCUGUAUCCACAAUAAAAAUAAUUAAGAAUGGUGUCCCACAAAAGAUGCCAGUUGUGGCAAUAUCAUUCAUUUUGAUUAAAAUACUGAAUUACUGAACCGAUUUUGAUAAAAUUUCUAUGGGACCGAUCUGUAAGUAUAUACCCUUAAGAUAAAAGUUUUCUAAAUCGGUUUACAAUUGACGUAAUUAGAAGAUGAUAAGCAUAAAAAAAACAAAAGACAAAUACAUAGAAAACCUUCUUUUUUUCAAAUCAGUUGAAAAUAUUAGGAAAGAAAUACACUGAUUUAAGUUAUUAAUCUUAUAAGAAUCGGCAAUGCUUGUGUGAUGCCUCUGGUUUUACUGACGUUUAUGAGACAGGCAUGCUGGAUUCUCAACUUCGACAUAAAAAAUAAAAAAUUUAAUUGUAGUAAAUUAUAAAUUAGUUUAAUAUUUUAUGGAACAUAAAUAGAGCGCUAUGUUUGGCAAAACGACUAUCAAAAGGCUGCCAUCUAAUCAUAGCCCUAUUUUAUUAUUGCAUUUUUACAUUUAUUAUGAUUUUAAACAUGAUUAGAACUUAUAAUGAACCUUAUUAAUACUAUAUAAGGUUCAUACAACAUUAUCUUUGUUUCACCUCUGAUAUUGUGAUAUUUUUUUGUUAUUUUCGCUAAAAAAAAUACAGCGUGCUUAUAUGUAUUACAUAUAGAUGUAGACAAAAUGUACAUUUUAGAUUAUCAUAGUCGUAACUUUAAUUUAGAUGUGAUCCAUGGAAUACUAUAUGUAUUUAACGUUCUAAUUUCAUUAAUAUUAAUUUCUAUGUUAUAUUACUGUUAAGGAUAGUUAUCUAACUGUCCUCAUUAGAACAAUUUAAAUGAUUGUUUAAUAAAAUAAAGCCCUUCGCACAUUACGACUUACACAAGCGACUAAAGUUACUUAAAUCUGAAGGUCAAAUAUACGAGUAUAGAUAGAAUUGCAUACUUUUUAUUAAUGCUAAAUUCCCGCUGUGUAUCUUUACUAUACAUUAUACUCUAUACUAAGGUAAGACAUUUUGACACUUUACACUGUGAAAUAAUUGUGUCGAGUGAGAUUUUUGGAGUCAAGUAAGUUUAAACUUGGUGUGAAGUACAAGAACCGAGGCUUGCUGGUAUAUGUUGAUGGGAUAUCAGUGAAUGAUGAUAGAUGAGGAUAAAGUUAAGUCAUUAUAUCGCGUGUAAUACUUAAUCAUGAUGGUUAUCAGGGAGACCGUGUGAAGGUCAACCCGACCUUCUUUUGCUAGCUAUGGGGCCACUUGUCCCCACUUAUAAUAUCCUCCUCUAAUUUUUUUACUGGAUAAUAAUGUUAUACGUUGGCGGGGCACCAAUGAAAGAUGAUAGGUGAGAGUGAAAAGGCAAGUCGGGUCAGCGCCAUGAGUACACCUGGAAUUCAACACGAUGGUUUCCAGUGGAGGACGACCUGACAGGGUAUAUUGCUAGCAAUGGGACUAGAAUCCCUCUCCAUCCCUCCUCUUAUUAGGUGGAUUGUCAAUAAUGUCUAAUUUGCCCCAUUAACUAUUUAUUUGAACUUAAUUCGAUUUGUUCGUGGAAUGAAAGGAGAAGGGAUCGUUAGUAAUGGAGAUCUAACAGUUCCAUUGCUACCCUGGAAACUAUCUUGGUUAAGUGUUAUGAAAUUCAUUGCAAUUUAAUUUUAUUAUUAAAUCUAAUUGACCCACUUUCAUCCUUAACUGUCAUCUCUCACUGGUGCCCUGCCAGUGUACAGUGCAGGCGGGGUUACCAUUCCAUUAUCACCCUUUAAAAAUACGAUAUUCGUUAUGUACGAAGUGGCUAAAUUUGAUAAUCUAUCUGUCGACAUAAUAGACACAGUAUUUAUUGUAUAAACGAUUAACGCAAUUGUAUCGUUUUUUUUAUAAAUAUCUCAAUAAACUGUACCUAAAAAUCAUUGAAGGAAUCGACAAUCGAGUUUCACUUUCCAGGAUCCCAAUUUCCCAUCCCAUCUGAAAGGUAUAAAAUUUUCUGAAUUAUUAUUUUUUAUAAUAAUGAUUGUUACCGAAUAUUAGGUGAAAAUGGAAGCAGAUCAGUUCGUCCAUCGUGACGAACUACACCGACUACAGUUUAAUCACUAAGACUUUUGUUAAGCAAUAUUUAGAUAGGUAGUCCAUUUAUAUGCUCGGCUGUGAGCAGAAAUAUAUGAAAACUUAUUGCGAAGGCCUCAAUCGUGAAGAGCCUAAUC
rnacentral:misc_RNA from 1 species